rnacentral:tRNA from 1 species
CAUUAGAUGGCUGAAGUUUAAGUAUUGGUCUCUUAAACCAAAUAAUAGUGUUUACACUUCUAAUGG